GAAAAUCUAGUUUAUAUUAAAAUAUUAAUUUGUCAAAUUAAAGAAAUUUUUAAAUGAUUUUCU
rnacentral:tRNA from 1 species